rnacentral:rRNA from 1 species
AGAGUUUGAUCAUGGCUCAGGAUGAACGCUAGCUACAGGCUUAACACAUGCAAGUCGAGGGGCAGCACAGUGUAGCAAUACAUGGGUGGCGACCGGCGCACGGGUGCGUAACGCGUAUCCAACCUUCCCGUUACUCUUGGAUAGCCUUCCGAAAGGGAGAUUAAUACAAGAUGGUAUUCUAAUUCCGCAUGUUAUUUGAAUUAAAGAUUUAUCGGUAACGGAUGGGGAUGCGUGACAUUAGAUAGUAGGCGGGGUAACGGCCCACCUAGUCUACGAUGUCUAGGGGUUCUGAGAGGAAGGUCCCCCACACUGGAACUGAGACACGGUCCAGACUCCUACGGGAGGCAGCAGUGAGGAAUAUUGGUCAAUGGUCGGAAGACUGAACCAGCCAAGUAGCGUGAAGGAUGAAGGUUCUAUGGAUUGUAAACUUCUUUUAUACGGGAAUAAAACCUCCCACGUGUGGGAGCUUGUAUGUACCGUAUGAAUAAGCAUCGGCUAACUCCGUGCCAGCAGCCGCGGUAAUACGGAGGAUGCGAGCGUUAUCCGGAUUUAUUGGGUUUAAAGGGAGCGUAGACGGGAUGUUAAGUCAGUUGUGAAAGGCUGCGGCUCAACCGCAGCACUGCAGUUGAUACUGGCGUCCUUGAGUGCGGUUGAGGUAUGUGGAAUUCGUGGUGUAGCGGUGAAAUGCUUAGAUAUCACGAAGAACUCCGAUUGCGAAGGCAGCAUACUAAGCCGCUACUGACGUUGAGGCUCGAAAGUGUGGGUAUCAAACAGGAUUAGAUACCCUGGUAGUCC